UGGUAGUAGGACGCACAGCGAUAGCCUCAGUAACGGCGAGUGAAGCGGCUACAGCUCAAAUUUGAAAUCUGGCCUCCUUUGGGGGUCCGAGUUGUAAUUUGCAGAGGAUGCUUUGGCAUUGGCGGCGGUCUAAGUUCCUUGGAACAGGACAUCGCAGAGGGUGAGAAUCCCGUACGUGGGCGCCUGCCUUUGCCGUGUAAAGCUCCUUCGACGAGUCGAGUUGUUUGGGAAUGCAGCUCUAAAUGGGAGGUAAAUUUCUCCUAAAGCUAAAUACCGGCCAGAGACCGAUAGCGCACAAGUAGAGUGAUCGAAAGAUGAAAAGUACUUUGGAAAGAGAGUCAAAUAGCACGUGAAAUUGUUGAAAGGGAAGCGCUUGCAGCCAGACUUGCCCGCAGUUGCUCACCUAGGCUUUCGCCUGGGGCACUCUUCUGCGGGCAGGCCAGCAUCAGUUUGGGCGGUCGGAUAAAGGCCUCUGUCAUGUACCACCCCUCGGGGUGGCCUUAUAGGGGAGGCGUAAUGCGACCAGCCCGGACUGAGGUCCGCGCAUCUGCUAGGAUGCUGGCGUAAUGGCUGUAAGCGGCCCGUCUUGAAACACGGACCAAGGAGUCUAACAUCUAUGCGAGUGUUUGGGUGUCAAGCCCGGGCGCGCAAUGAAAGUGAACGGAGGUGGGAACCCUUCGGGGUGCACCAUCGACCGAUCCUGAAGUCUUCGGAUGGAUUUGAGUAAGAGCAUAGCUGUUGGGACCCGAAAGAUGGUGAACUAUGCUUGAAUAGGGUGAAGCCAGAGGAAACUCUGGUGGAGGCUCGCAGCGGUUCUGACGUGCAAAUCGAUCGUCAAAUUUGGGCAUAGGGGCGAAAGACUAAUCGAACCAUCUAGUAGCUGGUUCCUGCCGAAGUUCCCUCAGGAUAGCAGUAACGUUUUCAGUUUUAUGAGGUAAAGCGAAUGAUAAAAGGCCUGGGGGUUGAACAAC
rnacentral:rRNA from 1 species